GGAAGGUUGGCAGAGUGGACAAUUGCACCGGUCUCGAAAACCGGAGCCUUACAGGCUGCGAGGGUUCGAAUCCCUCACCUUCCGCCA
rnacentral:tRNA from 1 species